rnacentral:lncRNA from 1 species
AGAGCCUGUGGAGCCGGAGCUGUUCAUAGGUUUCCUGAUAGGAGCUGGCAGACGUUGCCUGGGUAGGGGUAGAACUAGAUGACCCCAAGCAACUGGAAUUACAGGCCCACGUCACUAUGCCCAGCUAAUUUUUUGUAUUUUUUGUAGAGACAGUGUUUUGCCGUGUGGCUCAGGAUGGUCUCGAACUCCUGGGCUCAGACAAUUCAGCCACCUCAGUCUUGGUUUUGAAUCUCACUUUCCCCCACUUCUGGCUCUCCUUGGAGUAUUUUUGAUCUCAUGCAGCCACCUUUAUGAUAGAUGAAUCAUUCCUAUGUCAACCAUAGUCAUCAUGAAUCCUCUGAGUGACUCUGGGGUAGCUUUUUCCCUUCUUUUUAGAUAAAAUAUAAAGAAGCUUCCAUGGCUUCUCUGGUCAUUGUUUGGGAAUUAAACAUCCUAUGGUCACUCUAGUUCCCUAACAUUGUGUCCAGAGACCCUUCCCUACCUUCCCUGACCUCUGUGUAUUUCU